AUGUGUGAGAUAUAGAGGGAGGGAGGACUGGGACAGACAGGAGUUGUGUAAAAAACGGGGAAAAGAAAAAGAAGAGGGACUGAAGUCCUGCGCUGCGUCCGCCGCGGUUCCGACGAUAAAAAACGCUCCAGAUACCAGAAAUCCACUCAGAUCUUUAAAUACUGUGCAAGCGUGUGGGUGAAGGAAAUCCACAGACACCGACACACCCUGGAAAAGCUCCAGGAAGGACUCCGCGGGGAGCAGUGGGCGAGGCGGAGCGCUCCGGAUGAGCCGGGGAGCGGGCAGGAGCAGCAACCCGGCGCCUGGUGCUGAAGGGAUAAACCAAAAUCAGAAGAAGGAAGGAGACGGAGUUGCAGUUUGUGACGUUAAGGAGAAAGUGCGUCACUGAUCGACAUGUUCUGCUGACGGCUAACUCACAGCAGUUCUUCACUGGCAAGCUUUAUGUUCCUGUAUGCAUGCUAAAGCUGCCAGCUGAAGAACUGCUCUGGUCAGCCCUGCCCUGCAUGACUCAAGAAGAAAAAGAAGAAGAAGAUGGACGCUGCUGGGAAAGCAGUUCAGUAAACUGGAUAUUUAUUUUACAAUUUGAAUCAUUGUAUUUUGUGUUAACCUAUUAAUUAGUUUUUGUGGUAAAAUCUUGUGUUCCUGCAUGGAUGUUGAGUGAUUGGAUUUUUCCGCCUUACAAUAAAGAACAAAAUGUUCCCCUCUGAAGUCUCAUAGUACGCUUCAGAGUGAAGGCAGUAAAAUCCCACAGCAGCGAUCGAUCUCAUAUCCAAAAACUGAAAAUAAAACCUCACAGGUAUUGAUUUAAAAACUGAAAACUCUUGUUUCCUGCUUCCUUGAAUGCUCUCCAUCAAGUUUUAAGACUCUAUAAGUGUGGCCUCGGUUCAGUUGCUGGUACAUAUACUCCAGAGGAAAAGAAAGGGGUAAAAAACUUGCAUAACGUCUGUUUUUCAAUGCCUGAAGGCGUCUUCGGCUUUUCAUCAAAUUCCUCCGCAGCACGUUCAUUUGUGAAGUCACAGGACAAACAUGGAGAGGUGCUGGGAUUUAUUACUGAGGAGAAAAGGGAUUUUAAGAAUUUAACUUAAAUAUUCCUGGUUUUUAGUAAAUUUAAGAUGAAGACAUUUGAAUAAAAUAUGGAGACUAAUUAAAAAUAUAUCACUGAGGUGUAAACAUGACCUUUAAAGGUUUGUUGUCAAAAACGAAUAAAGAAAUUAUUUUUAAACA